UCUCAAUGACCAUUGUUUUUACAAAACAUUAAUGAAAAUUAAAAAACCCAAGUCUCCUCCUCGUGAUUUUAUUUUACAAUAAUAAGCCAAGCCCCAAGUUCCCUCAUUUCUAACUAUUCAUCCACCACGUUAUAACCGCCCACUCCAUCGUGCCGUCCACUCCACCGCGCCGUCUACUCCACUGAUGUCCUCUCUACCGAGGCCGACUCCACGCUUCUUCAAUUCAAAACGUAUGAAAAAUCGAAGAGAAAUUCGAUAAUUUGAGUUAUCAUGGGGAAAUUAGGGUCUAUAUCAGGAGGAAUUUGGGGGAAAUUAGGAAAAAGAGGUUCGUAGCUCCGCCAGGCCGGCACACCGAGCAAUCAAGAACGCACGGCGCCAAAAGGCCCGACGGCCCUAUCUCAGUUCGUCAGUUUCUCAGCUUUCACGGAUCAGAACUUGAUUCAAGCAGCAACAGGAUUGCCAGCAAAUUGAUAUUAUCCAUUCCCUUCAGAGCACCCUGGUGUUUGAAAUGGUUUUAAUCCCACUUUCUUUCCUGUCAAUCAGGACAUCGGUGAAGAGUUAGAAGGGCUCAAUGUUGUUCAGCAGCACAUCAAGUUUCACUAAAAUGCUCACAUAUGAGAUCCCCUAUUUAAGCUAGACUGGUUUGACGCUCCGAAUAACAGCAGUAAACUGAUGCGUUCUUGCCUUAUCAAUUUCAACACAAUAGAUUAUUUUUGGUUUAAAGUAGAAGACACGAACAUAAAUAUAUAUUGUAAUAAUCUAGUUAACAAUGUAUUAUAAACACAAAUGAUAUAAAAUUUGUAACUUUUAUGUA